rnacentral:rRNA from 1 species
UACGAGGGGGGCGAGCGUUGUUCGGAAUUAUUGGGCGUAAAGGGUGCGUAGGCGGUUCCGCAAGUCCUGUGUGAAAUCUUCGGGCUCAACUCGAAGUCUGCACGGGAAACUGCGGGGCUUGAGUGUGGGAGAGGUGAGUGGAAUUCCCGGUGUAGCGGUGAAAUGCGCAGAUAUCAGGAGGAACACCGGUGGCGAAGGCGGAUCUCUGGGCCAUUACUGACGCUGAGGAGCGAAAGCGUGGGGAGCGAACAGG